UACGAAGGGGGCUAGCGUUGCUCGGAAUCACUGGGCGUAAAGGGUGCGUAGGCGGGUUUCAUAGUUAGGGGUGAAAGUCUGGGGCUCAACCUCAGGACUGCGUCUGAUACUGGAAGGCUUGAGUGUGAAAGAGGGUCGUGGAACUUCCAGUGUAGAGGUGAAAUUCGUAGAUAUUGGAAAGAACACCGGUGGCGAAGGCGGCGACCUGGUUCAUUACUGACGCUGAGGCGCGAAAGCGUGGGGAGCAAACAGG
rnacentral:rRNA from 1 species